rnacentral:misc_RNA from 1 species
UUCAGCCAUUCAAGUAGCUCAAAGAGCCUCGGAGGUGCAGAUUCCUGUGAAGGAAAGGCUGAGUUGCAGCUUAAGAAUGCAUCUUUAGUCCAGUCUCCUUCUGGGGAUGCUGCUGCAUGUGUUACUUCGGCACCAUCUGAAGAAAUGGCUGCCAGGAAGAAACCGCGCCUUAAUUGGGGUGAGGGACUGGCAAAGUAUGAGAAGAAGAAA